ACGUGAGUAACCUGCCCUUGACUCUGGGAUAAGCCUGGGAAACUGGGUCUAAUACCGGAUACGACCGCUCCACGCAUGUGGUGGUGGUGGAAAGCUUUUGCGGUUUUGGAUGGACUCGCGGCCUAUCAGCUUGUUGGUGGGGUAAUGGCCUACCAAGGCGACGACGGGUAGCCGGCCUGAGAGGGUGACCGGCCACACUGGGACUGAGACACGGCCCAGACUCCUACGGGAGGCAGCAGUGGGGAAUAUUGCACAAUGGGCGCAAGCCUGAUGCAGCGACGCCGCGUGAGGGAUGACGGCCUUCGGGUUGUAAACCUCUUUCAGUAGGGAAGAAGCGAAAGUGACGGUACCUGCAGAAGAAGCGCCGGCUAACUACGUGCCAGCAGCCGCGGUAAUACGUAGGGCGCAAGCGUUAUCCGGAAUUAUUGGGCGUAAAGAGCUCGUAGGCGGUUUGUCGCGUCUGCUGUGAAAGACCGGGGCUCAACUCCGGUUCUGCAGUGGGUACGGGCAGACUAGAGUGAUGUAGGGGAGACUGGAAUUCCUGGUGUAGCGGUGAAAUGCGCAGAUAUCAGGAGGAACACCGAUGGCGAAGGCAGGUCUCUGGGCAUUAACUGACGCUGAGGAGCGAAAGCAUGGGGAGCGAACAGGAUUAGAUACCCUGGUAGUCCAUGCCGUAAACGUUGGGCACUAGGUGUGGGGGACAUUCCACGUUUUCCGCGCCGUAGCUAACGCAUUAAGUGCCCCGCCUGGGGAGUACGGCCGCAAGGCUAAAACUCAAAGGAAUUGACGGGGGCCCGCACAAGCGGCGGAGCAUGCGGAUUAAUUCGAUGCAACGCGAAGAACCUUACCAAGGCUUGACAUGAACCGGUAACGCCUGGAAACAGGUGCCCCGCUUGCGGUCGGUUUACAGGUGGUGCAUGGUUGUCGUCAGCUCGUGUCGUGAGAUGUUGGGUUAAGUCCCGCAACGAGCGCAACCCUCGUUCUAUGUUGCCAGCGCGUGAUGGCGGGGACUCAUAGGAGACUGCCGGGGUCAACUCGGAGGAAGGUGGGGACGACGUCAAAUCAUCAUGCCCCUUAUGUCUUGGGCUUCACGCAUGCUACAAUGGCCGGUACAAAGGGUUGCGAUACUGUGAGGUGGAGCUAAUCCCAAAAAGCCGGUCUCAGUUCGGAUUGGGGUCUGCAACUCGACCCCAUGAAGUCGGAGUCGCUAGUAAUCGCAGAUCAGCAACGCUGCGGUGAAUACGUUCCCGGGCCUUGUACACACCGC
rnacentral:rRNA from 1 species